CGCCCCGCCCCGGGUGUAACCGGGCCGCACCGCUCCUCCCUGCCGCUCGCUCGCUCCCCACGCCGAAAUGCCGCUCAUCAGCGUGCCCAAAGAAGUGGCUGUCGGGACGGCGAUGUUGGGGGUCGCCUUUGCCACGGGUGUGCUCGCAGGUAAAAGAUACCCUUCUUUCAUUUUUGGGACCCCGAGUGGUAUGAUUAGGAAAAACAGUCCUCUCCGGCAAUACAUACUGGAUCACUCAUUGCGGGAACAUCCAAUUCUAAAGAAGCUGCGUCUGCUCACUGCUGAGCAUCCCUGGGGCAGAAUGAUGGUGUCCUGUGAGCAGGCUCAGCUUAUGGCAAAUUUGGUCAAACUCAUUAAAGCCAAGAAAGUUAUUGAAAUAGGUGUUUUCACAGGUUAUAAUGCCUUGAAUAUGGCACUUGUCCUGCCAGAUAAUGGCCAAGUUAUUGCCUGUGAUAUAAAUGAGGACUAUGCCAAAAUUGGAAGGCCACUGUGGAAGGAGGCAGGAGUAGAGCAUAAAAUUGACCUGCGGAUUAAGCCAGCAAUUCAAACGCUUGAUGAACUGUUGGCCAAUGGAGAAGCGGAAACCUUUGACUUUGCUUUCAUUGAUGCCGAUAAAGAAAACUACAAUGAGUACUAUGAAAAAUGCUUGCACCUUAUAAAGAAAGGGGGAAUAAUAGCUAUUGAUAAUGUCUUUUGGAAUGGAAAGGUGCUAAAACCAAGGAAGGAUGACUUGGCAGCGCAGAGUAUCCACCACCUCAAUGAGAAGCUUCUCAGAGAUGCACGUGUCAAUAUCAGCAUGCUCCCAGUGGGGGAUGGAGUCACAUUAGCAUUCAAAUUGUAACUCAAGGAAGCCCAGCAGAUGGGAAAUAGCAAGCAGCAUCAAAUCAUCAGGAAAAAUAUAAAAAUUGAUUAAAUAAGAAACUGAAAGUAGGAUUUUACAGACAAAAGCUUCACUGGUAACUGUUUUGGGGGACUGAUAACACUGGAAGUAUAUGUAUAGAGGAAAGAGAUCUUCAGUUUUGUUGAUGACCUGAAGGAAAGCUGUUAUCAGAGCUAAGAGAAUCCUUCAUCCAUUUGCUUAAACAAUGCACUUGAAUGACUUGAGCCACUGGGGGACAAAGGUUUCAAGUCUCAGAACGUGUCUACUUGGCUCAUACUUUUGAAAUUUCAGCUGGGUGGCUUGGGUGCUGGUCAGGGGCAGAAGUUCAGAGCAGAAGUUCAGGCUCUUGCCUGUCACAGACACAGACACUGCAGUGUAGAGAAAUGAAGAGAGGAAGCAUUGCCUGAUGGCUUCAGAGUAGGGUUAUGACUGAGGGAGAUCUCAAUUCUAUUUCUGUCACUUCCACUUAAAACACUGAUUCAGCAAAGCAUAUCAGGAUGUGCUUAAGUACUUUGCUGAAUUGAGGACUAAAUCCAAGUCUGGGAGAAGGCCAGGACAAGAUGUGUGUUGCCCUUAAAUGAGAAUUUACAUAGGGCAUAAAGUUUGCUCAGUUUGUUUUUCUGAGUACGGAUUUACCCUCAGAGCUUCAAACCUCUGCACUCCUCAAAUUUCUUCUCUGCAUAAAAGAAAUAACACCUUAUUAAAUUCUUAGUGGCUAUAACAGCUCCUAGAUGGAGUGGCUAAGGGAGUGUACAGGAUUAUUACACAUUUGGAUGCAGAGCUUCUGGCCAUGUUCUACUUUACAAUUUUAAUUUGUCAGUAGAUACCAAAAGAAUCCUAAGAGUUAAAAACACUAAAUGGGACACUUUAACAGCAGGGGCAUCUUCUCAAAUAUUCCUGCUUUCAGAGGCUAGAGGCUGAUAAACAUGAGCAAGACAGAAGCUGUUAAGAAUACUUACCCUGCCCUAAAAGUACCAUGAUGGCCUUUCCCAAACAUGGAGAAGCCUUUGGAAAAUCAACCACAGACUCUGCAACUGUUUUACAAUUUUCCAAGUUUCAAGAACCUUGUCAAUGAAGGUGAGCCAAAAGUGGGCAAGUAUCAUGAGUAUUUUUGCAAGACACUGUCAAGUAAGAGUUUAGCAACAUUUAAAACCAGAUGCAAGCACUCAUAGUUGAUGAAAUAAAAAACAACUAUUCUUUCUGUAGUGGGUACUGGCAAAGUCCCCAUUACUUAUGCUAGAGGAAAAUCUAUCAAGUGCCUGAGGCUGAAGCCAUGUGCAGCAGCUAGCUAGCAUUUUGCCUUUGCUUUGGACUCUGUUCCAUUUUAAAUAUGCAGAUCAUAAUGUGAGUAUUUCAUCAAACCUGUCUCCAUCCUGAUCACCUAAUUACCAUUAGAAAGAAUAGCAAUGUGUCCCUAAACUAUAGAUUGAUGAGCCAUCUGUAAGCGGAAACAAAGAGCAGAAGGAAGCUUAAUUGAAUCAAAUAUUUAGAAUACAUUACUCUAUCUUGUAGUUACUCAGAAACUGGCCUUCUCUUCAGGCUUCUGUCCUGCACAUCUGGAAUUUAUCACCACCAACUGCAUUUAAUCCUUCAACCUUACCAUGAAGUGACUGCUGAUAAUAUAUAAUUAUGGUUUAAUUCAAGUGGUGAAUCAGCGAUGGGGAAUUUGUGGGGGCAAUGGGAAUUCAGACUUCCAUUAGCUGAUGAGAAUGGACCACCCAAUAUCACAAUGCAAGUCUUUGUCUCUUUCUAAUGGAGAAGCCAUGUCUGGAAGCUCGUGGGUCUGCUGUGUCUGCUCACCUCUCUCAGGUAUUACACCUGCCUGAGCUACUGCUCACACUAUAGAGGCUCAGGAUUUUCUGCCAAUGGAGAGGAGCUGACCCAGGGGCACAGCUGUUGCCCAAACCUUCCCAGCCAGCUGUCCCUGCAACACCAACAUUUCUUCUGC